AGUGAACGCUGGCGGCGUGGUUAACACAUGCAAGUCGAACGAGAACGGAAUAUAGCUUGCUAUAUUUGUCAGCUAAGUGGCGCACGGGUGAGUAAUGUAUAGAUAACCUGCCCUUAAGAAAGGAAUAACAGUUGGAAACGACUGCUAAUGCCCUAUAUGCCUUUAAUACAUAAGUAUGCAAGGGAAACGCUUUAGUGCUUAAGGAUGGGUCUGUAUGGUAUCAGCUUGUUGGUGAGGUAAUGGCUCACCAAGGCUAUGACGCCUAACUGGUUUGAGGAGAUGAUCAGUAACACUGGAACUGAGACACGGUCCAGACUCCUACGGGAGGCAGCAGUGGGGAAUAUGGCACAAUGGACGAAAGUCUGAUGCAGCAACGCCGCGUGGAGGAUGACACAUUUCGGUGCGUAAACUCCUUUUAUAUAGGAAGAUAAUGACGGUACUAUAUGAAUAAGCACCGGCUAACUCCGUGCCAGCCGCCGCGGUAA
rnacentral:rRNA from 1 species